GACGAACGCUGGCGGCGUGCUUAACACAUGCAAGUCGAGCGAUGAAGCACCUUCGGGUGUGGAUUAGCGGCGAACGGGUGAGGAACACGUGAGGAAUCUGCCUUUCACUUCGGGAUAACUCCGGGAAACCGGGGCUAAUACCGGAUAUUUUCAACUGGCGGCAUCGCCGGUUGAAGAAAGUUUUUCGGUGAAAGAUGACCUCGCGGCCUAUCGGCUUGUUGGUGAGGUAAUGGCUCACCAAGGCGACGACGGGUAGCCGGCCUGAGAGGGCGGCCGGCCACACUGGGACUGGGAACCGGCCCAGACUCCUACGGGAGGCAGCAGUGGGGAAGAUUGGGCAAUGGAGGAAACUCUGACCCAGCGACGCCGCGUGAGGGAUGAAGGCCUUCGGGUUGUAAACCUCUUUCAGCAGGGAAUAAGCGAAAGUGAAGGUACCUGCAGAAGAAGCACCGGCUAACUAUGUGCCAGCCGCCGCAGUAA
rnacentral:rRNA from 1 species